CCCACGUCCUUGAGGUCGAACGGUUUGCUUAUUUACGGAACGCGGGCAUGCCACGUGAGAGACGGCCAAAAACGGUGCAGAAAGGCGUUUGUCAUCCGCCACGUGGCGUGACUAAAUCACGACGCUAAUCGACCGAUCUGCGAAGACUCGGUCUAUAAAUAGAUAAAGCUCGCUGCAUACUCGGAGCUUUUUAUGAAACUCCCCGCUCUACACUCGCCGAUUAUACCGAGACCCAUUUACUCGCUUUAGGAUGCGACAAGUUUCACGGAAAGCUUCUGCUACAAUAUCACUUUCUUCGUGCUAAACUGUUCGGUGAAUCCUUAUGGAUCAUGGGUACUCCUUACUUCGAGUUACUUGUCUACGUAUAUGCAGGAGCAAUGAAUCCGAGUGAAAAAAAUUUGUGAAAUUUCAUGCUCCGGAAUUCUGUUGUUAUUUAAACGAGUUUGCUGCCAUUUUUGCUGGCAGUGAUAAUAUUUUUCAUCGAGAAGUUGAAACCGUAUGAGUACGAAUAAGUCAAAUUUCAAACGUUUGUUGAUGACUGUAAUUGUGCACGGGAUCAAGUACAAAUUUACCCAGGAAUUGGGUGGGCACAUGAGUCAACCGAUUGAUGUCUCGGCGGCCCUGAGGUCUUUUCUUUGUGUCUUUAUUCCGGGACGCGUGCAUCAAGUUUCGAUCAAUGAACCGGCUGCUGCUGCACUACACCGAGCUGUGAGAAACAUAUAAAUAAAAAUAGUUAACCCGAGGUAUCGUGCAACUACACUCUCGAAGCAGCCGAUCCAGCCGCGAUAAAAGCAACGCGGAUUCGGCCGGCUGCCUCCCGCAGGAUGACGUCGCGACGUCGGCGUCUGGACCUGGACGGAAAUAUCCCUCGAAAUCGUGACUCACGGACUCGGCUUCCCUAUAUUUACCAGCGGCAAUCGUGCCGGUGCUACCGGAAUAGGUUUACUAUCGUCUUGCAAGGGCGGGAGAAUUUCUACCACCCUUCGACGCCCCCGAACACCCGAUGUCGAAGAAUCCUCCACGAAGCCUCCGUUUCAUUUGGAAACGGCGUCGUGUGUUUGCGUGACGUGAGUUUUGUCAUUAGUCGCUUUUCUUCGCACGCGAACCACUCGGAGAAUUUCGACUCAUUUUUAGUCCAGGAGAAAUUCGCCCGCAUACACGGAUAUACCGAUUUAGCAACGAUUACGGCGAUUUUUUUCACACUUUUAUAUCACUCAGAAGUUCCUUUGAAGUUGGAGCGAAAUUUAUUCGUGUUUGAUUACGCGCUUUUGAAGAAAUCGAGAAAUUUAUAAGUUUUGAUACUUUUUUUUCCCCACAAUAUGUCCACUAAAUUUCAAUCAUUCCCAUAACGAAUGACUUGAAUACCCUGGCAAUUAAAAUUAGGCUAAUAAUCGUUUCAGGAAUUCCACGCAGCGAGAAUAAUUUCACUUGGACAAAUUUUUCAUUCGCUAUCUUCAACUUAAGACUAACAAUCUUUUUGUGUUCGUAUAGUAUUGAGCCAGAUUAUACCCGUGUAGUAGGUAUGACUUUUACAAUUUUUUAAACGGCCUCAUCCGUCCAUUUCUUUAUUAACAAGAUUAUCAGCUUUUCCUAUAAAAAUCGCAAAGAAACUAUUAUUGUCCGAAGUAGUAGGUUAAUGAAAACGCUGUUUUGUCAUCAAUUCGGUAAUCCUUUUACAAAAAUUGUACCAACUUUCUGAUAAUUACUAUCGUUAAAUGGAAUAACAUUGUUAUAAUAGUCUUUCCUUGCAUAGGGACAUCACUGCACGGAAAUAACCGUCUUAUCUGUUCCAUCACGAGUAAUAACCAACUAAGGAUCGGAUUUAGAAAGUAGGAAGACCAAAUAUUCAAUGUCGUCCCUAAAUUCGGAUGAAAUUCAAUAGAGAAUUUCUUUUCACCCAAAAUGUCGAGUCAUUGAAAAAAAAAAACCGUUAUUACACAGGCUUAACAAACCUCAAAAUUUUCAUUUUUUCAAAAUAACCAAGGCAUUCUUUACGUUCU
rnacentral:lncRNA from 1 species